rnacentral:rRNA from 1 species
GACGAACGCUGGCGGCGUGCUUAACACAUGCAAGUCGAACGGAAAGGCCCUGCUUUUGUGGGGUGCUCGAGUGGCGAACGGGUGAGUAACACGUGGGUAACCUGCCCUUGACUUUGGGAUAACUUCAGGAAACUGGGGCUAAUACCGGAUAGGAGCUCCUGCUGCAUGGUGGGGGUUGGAAAGUUUCGGCGGUUGGGGAUGGAUUCGCGGCUUAUCAGCUUGUUGGUGGGGUAGUGGCUUACCAAGGCUUUGACGGGUAGCCGGCCUGAGAGGGUGACCGGCCACAUUGGGACUGAGAUACGGCCCAGACUCCUACGGGAGGCAGCAGUGGGGAAUAUUGCACAAUGGGCGGAAGCCUGAUGCAGCAACGCCGCGUGCGGGAUGACGGCCUUCGGGUUGUAAACCGCUUUCGCCUGUGACGAAGCGUGAGUGACGGUAAUGGGUAAAGAAGCACCGGCUAACUACGUG